ensembl:lncRNA
GCCACUUCAGCAAAAUUUUAACUUGCUCUAGGCCAUGGAUCACUGGAUCCCUUGAGACUUGCCAAAGUUACAAAUACUACAUUCAACAAUGUCAAGGUUCUUGGGUAAUCUGCACUGUAAUACUAAAAUUGUUAAAUCAGGUAGUAAUAUAACUGUAUAACAUGAGAAAUACUAGUAACUGAUUUUUUCCAGUUAUUAAUCAAACUGAAUAGAAUUCUUUUAUGGCUUAUAUAUUUAAACUACUGAGGAAUCAUUCUUGAUUAUCUAUAAAUAUGUUUUUAUUAUCAGUCACAGAUAAAUGUUUUAAUCUGUAUAAAUGAAGGUAUAAUCAAGUCUUAGGAUUUAUGACAGAAUAAAAUGAAGAAAUUUUUUAGAGAUGCACAUAAUGAAGACAGUUUUAGGGCCUGAGAUCUUCAAAGAAGGUGCUGGGAUUUGGAUCCUUCAAGGAAUAUUCAGUUUAGGACAGAGAAUAUUCUUCAGUUUGAAAAACCCCAAGGAAAGCAAGGCAAUGAGAACUUUUCCUCACAUUUUUGCUCAUUAGUUGUAAUAAAACUGCAUCAAGUAUCAUCCCUCUUGCUAGGAGCCUGAGGACAUGAAUCCUGGCAAAGCCUGUUUCAGCACCAUUAACACUGACAGUAGAGAGCUCUGUGGAGCAGAUGUGGACCUGCCCUGUCCAUCACAUGAUAUAUUCAGCAUCUUCACUGUGAAAAAUACAGCCAACUUAGCAUUGCCUCUGACCCAGAGUACUUCAAAAGAGAAAGCUGAGGUGAGCACCCAGGAGGAGGCUUCCAGGCCACCAUACCACCACUGUCCCCAGCACAGAGGAGAUGAGCUGCUUGGGUGCCAACAGCAGACCCCUGUUGAAAUGAGAUGAAAUGUAAAUAAGUCUCAAAAAUCAGACUUCCAUAUCACCUAAAGAAACCCCAAAGGGAAAUGAGAUGGAACACUCUGACACUCAACCACCUGGACUCCUUGAACUAGCAACAAAAGAUGAUCUGGAAAAAAUGAAAUCAGAAAUAAUUUUUCAGAUAACAGCAGAGAUUGUGCCCAUAGUGCAAGACAUGAUUAAUAAAUCUAGAGAGGACAAAGAUAGAAAAAAUAGAGGAGGUGAGAAACAUGAUGGAAUCCCAACAUAGGAAACAAAUGGAAUCCACAAAACAAAGAAACAGAUUUCCAGGAGAUUAAAAUCUCCAUUCAAAGCCCAUGCAGCAGAAUGAGCCAAUGUGAGGACAGAAUCUCAGAUAUAGAAAACAAAAUUGCACUUAGUGACCAGGAAAAGAAAAAUUUCUUCAAAAUUGUAAGGGACAACAAGAAAUCAAUCCAGCAGCUGGUAGACAAUGCAAAGAAAAAUCAAAUAAAAAUUGAUCAGAGUCAAUGAAGAAACAGGAGAGAGUACAGAUGACAUAAAAAAAACUGUUCACAGAAGUCAUGGCAGAAAACUUCCCAAGCAAGGAAAAAGAACUUGACAUACAGAUAAGUGAGGAAUGUAGGACUCCAACUAGCAUUGAUCAAAAAACAUCUACACAUAGGCAUAUAAUACUUAGGAUUCCAGAAACCCAACAGAAGAACAAAAUUCUACAAGCAGUUAGAGAAAAGAAACAAAUCACAUAAAAAGGAAAACCCAUCAGAAUAAUAGCAGACUUCUCAAUGCAAAUUCUCAAAGCAAGAAGAGCUUGGAGUGAUGUAUUUCAAGCCCUAAAGGAAAACAGCCACCAACCCAGAUUGAUGUACCCUGCAAAACUAUUUUUCAAAAUUGAUGGAGAAAUAAGAUAAUUUCGUGACGAAGAGCACCUUAGGGACUUCAUGAGUACCAAACCAGCACUCCAAAGCUUUUUAGACAAUAUCCUAGGAAAAGACAAAAAGGAUCACAACUGCAGGAAGCCCAGCAGAAUGAAUCCAUCAGGUGCAACAAGACAUUAAAUGCGAAGGGGAGAAUCCGACAAAAAGAAAAACUCAUGACCAUGAUAAGUCAAUAUGUUAAUCAUAAUCAAUGUUAAUCAUAAUCAAUGUUAAUGAUCUCAAUUCACCAUUCAAAUAAAUAGACUGGCAGAAUGGGUCAAGAAGGAAGAUCCAACAAUAUGAUGCAUACAAGAAACACAAUUCAACAGGAAACUCAUAGAAUGAAAGUUAAAAGGUGGAAAACAAUACUCCAUGUGACAGGAACCUAAAUAAAAGCAGGAGUAGCAAUCCUCUUUGCAGAUCAGGUGACUUUCAAACCAAAAUCUGAAACACUCUGUUCCCAAGAAUUUCAGAUAAGCGAUAGUCAGCUUGUAUGUACAAAUCUAUUGUGAACAUGUGUUUUCAUUCCUCUUAAGUAAAAACUUAAGAACAGAACUGUUGAUUCUUAACAGCAAUACAAGAAAUUUCUAUAUUGUUUUCCAAAAUGGUUUUGUCAUUUUACAUUCACGUUAGCAAUAUUAGAAAGUUCUAACUGGUUCACACCUAAGCUGACAUUUGUUCUUUUAAAACUUUUAACUUUAUCUCACUAAUGAGUGUAUAAUAUGAUCUUGUUAUUGUACUGAUUAAUAGUUUUCAGAUUCUAGUGUUGUACACCUUUCCUUGUGCUCUAUGGGCUAUUUAUCAUCUUCUUGUGUCUACAUUUUAAUUGGAUUGUCUAUUAAUGAGCUGUAAGAGUUCUUUAUAUAUUCUGGUCAUAGGUUAUAUGCAUUAUAAAUAUGAUCUGUUUAAGGGCUACUUUUCAUUUUCUUAACAAUUUCAUUUAAAGUUACAAAUUUUGAUGGAAUAUCAUUCAUCAAUUUCUUUCUUUCACACAUCAUGUUCUUUUGUAUCCUAGGAAAUUCUUGCCUACCCUAAAUUCAUGAACACUUUCCCUUAUAAUUUCUUCUUUUUUUUUUUUUUGAUACCAGGGAUCGAACUCAGGUCUUUGUGCUUGCGCAAAAGGCAGCAAAACCACUGAGCUAAAUCCCUGGCCCUAUAAUUUCUUCUUCAAGUUUUAUACUUUAGCCUUUCACAUUUAGGUUCAUAGAUCCUUUCAUAUUAUUUUUAUGUAUGGAAAUAAAGGGUUGAGGUUAAUAUUUUACAUACAGAUAACAAGUGUUCUAGUGCCAUUUGCUGAAAACACUAUAUUUUCCUCUGCUCUUGAGUUGAAUUUAUGUUCUAUAGAAUGCUAAUGUUAAAUAAUCUUUCAAAACUCAAUGGACCAUAUAUGUGUGGUUCUAUUUCUAGAUUCUCUGUUUUAUUCCAAUGAUCUAUAUCUUUCUGUACACCAACGCUGCCUUGAUUACUGUAGCUUUAGAGGAAGUCUUAAAAUUAGGUAAUACAUGUCUUCCAACACUGUUUUUAUUUUCUUUUUACUUAUCUAGGUCCUUUGUACUCCUACAUAACUCUUAAAUUUCAAUAUCCAAUUCUUCAUUUAUAGCAAGUAUACACAGACCUGAAUUUUUAUAUAUACCUUGUGUUUUCUAAUCCUUCUAAAUUCAAAUACAAGUUCUAGAGAUUUCUUAGUAUUUUCUCUGUAGAUGAUCAUUUCAUCUACAUAUAAAGAUUUUACUUCUACCUUGCCAAUCCUAUGUUACUUGUGUCUUUUUAUUGCCAGACUAUGUUGUUUUGUGUCUAUGUUUCAAAGUUUAAUGGACAGAUGAAGAGUAGGCAUAUCUGCCCUUGUUUCCAACCUUAGGGAGGAAGCAUUGUAUCUUUUCCAUUCAUAUAAGGCAUUUUUGCUGGAAGUAUGGAGUACAUGGGUUAUCUGUUGAGAAGUUUCUGUUCUACUUCUAAUCUCCUGAUGGCUUUUACCAUGAACAGCUGUAGAAUUUAGUCCAAUAGUUUUUAUGCAACUACUGACAAGAUCAUGUGGGUUUUUUCCUUUCCUCUGUUAAAAUGAUGACUUAUGAGUGUGGAUCUUCCAAUGCUGAACCAACACCACCACCCAUAUAAUAAAUCCACUUUCUACAUACUACCAGAUCUGACAUCUAAUAGUUUGUUUUGUUAAACAAAUUUUUAUUUAUGUUCAUACUUUUUUCUUCUACUAUCUUUAUCCAGUUUUAGUAUUAGCACAAUGUUGAUCUCCUAAAAUGAGUGGAGUGUUUCUUCUUUCUUCUGCUUUAAUUGUUUGAUUUAAUUUAUCAGUUAAAAUGUAUAUGACCCUGUGGCUGUCUUACAGGUAGGUUUUCAAGCUAGGAAUAUACUUUCUUUAAUAGGUGCUAUUCAAAUUUUAUAUUUCCUCCAGAGUCAGUUUCCUUAAUUUAUCUUCCAAGGUAAUUCUUAGAAGUUGUCAAAUUUAUUUUAAAAAUGAUUUUUGACUGGCCCUGGGUUUCAAGGCUCUGGGCUGAAUUUAAUUAUCUUUCUUUUCUCCAAGUUAGAGGCCACACUCUCUGUGCUAGGCUGCUUAGAUUCAAGUGAUGAUAGAAACUCCUUCCUUCCUGUCUUCUUCAAUUUUUAUUUUUGUUUAUGCUAAAAGCAGACACUAUGGUCUCUUACCUCAUUUCCUUUAUUUUUGUGCUGAGUGUCUGGUGUGUGUAUAGUUGUUGAACUUGUUGUAUCUGGGGGGACGGCUUGCCUGAAGGUCUCACUCAUAUACCAUCUUGCUCAUCCAUCUAAUUUUACUGAAUAUAAAUUCCCACUUAUUAAAGCAAAACUUGGGAUUUUGAUGUUUUUGCAGAGACAGAUUCUGGUUUUUCAGUUUGUUUUCACUGUCUAUAGUGAAUGGUGGUACACUAUAGAAAGCACACACUAUACUACUUGAUGUUUCACAAAGGCACUCUUUAAUAUAAUUAAAAAUGUGUUUUGUAUCUGUUUAUUUCUCAGGAUCUUCUCAGACCUCCUUUUAUUAGAUAUAUUCUCAUCACUGAGACAAAAAUACUGGAUACCUGUUUUAUCGCUUGUAUCUAGAUGUCCCCCUAAAGCCUCAUGUGGUCAUAGGUGGGGCUUUUCAGAGGUGGCUGGAUCUAGGGUUUGUGAUGUUGGGAUUAAGGGUAUGAUGCCAGGAUUGAUUCAUGGUGUGAUGCUAGGAUUAAGGGUGCCCCACCCGAGAUGUGAGUGCUACCAGCACAUAAGGGACAGAAAAAGGGCUGCUCUUAUUGCUUGCUACUUUGCUGCUUUGCUGUUCUGCCUUCUGCACAUAAUAAACUGUUUUUCUUCUGUGAUGCCCCUAUGAAGGGGUAUAGGUUUAUUUGAUUCACAGAUAGAGAAGGCUGAGCUCAUGACUAGCUGGCUCCAUGGUAGAAAUUGCACCUUUCAAGGGCAUGGCAGUAUAUAGCUGCUCAACUCAUGGAAACCAGAAGCAAAUUAGAGACAGAAGAGCCAAAGCUAGAGAGAGAGCUCCUCCCAAAGGCACAUCACCAGUGACUCACCUCUGAAUAUAUAAUACUUCAGGGAGAUAUUUUAGAUUUGAACUAUUAUCACUACUAUAUAAACUUUUUUCUACUCUUCCUAUCUUAAAUAGUCCAACUACAAGUAAUUUUAAAUACCUCACUCUCCCUUAAUCAUAUCUUCCAUCCAGUCACCUAGUGCAGUCAAUUCUGUGUUCAAAAUAGUUGUCUUCUUUAACUCUCCAUCCCUAUCUAUUUUUAUAUCAUUGUGCUCUGACUUUAGUCAUGUCUCCCCAGCAACAGUGGCCUACACUGCACACUGCAACUUUUCCCUCUGUUCCACAUCUCGCAGAAAGUGGAUGUGUACACUAAAGAGUGUAAUUUAUUUCAGUGACUUCUCAUCAUUCUUAGCAGUGGUGACAUAGCACAUUCUCAUGAGUUAUGAGGUCUAGAGAUGCCUUGAUGAUCCUUAAUAUUGAAGUCAGAACCAAUGUGGAAGGGCAUUGGCCACCCUGCCCUUCCUAACCGUGUGUAAAAGUGCACAAAAUAGCUCCAGACAAUAACAAGUAUGGUCAUGCAUCUUUUGGAUUUUUUUUCUUUAUCUUCAAAAAACCCCCACAUCCUUUCAGUACUUUAAAUUUUGCUAGAAAAAAAGCUACUUUUUACUCCUUUAUUUUCCUAGACUUACACCUGAAAUUUUCUAGCAAUUUUUAUAUUUUCUUAUUUUCAAUGUACUAUAUGCAUUCUCUUUCUUUUUUCCCCUCUUAAAUUCUUUUAUUGCUACAUUUUUGGUAUACAACACAUCUACAUUCAUCAUUGGAAACUUGUACCUUUACAUAAUAUAUCUUGGUUCUUAUUGUUUUCCCAUUUCCCUCCUCUCCCUUCAACCCCUCCACCCCUCCAUAUUUGCAAAGACUUUGUUUCCAUUUUUUCUUUUCUCAUAUUUUUUCCUUUCCUUUCAUUCCUUUCCCCUACCCCUGUUUAUAAAAUGGAGUACUACUUGGCCACAAAGAAUGAGAAAUUAGAGACAUUUGUAGCUAAAUGGAUGCACAUUGAGCACAUACUCUUAAGUGAAAUAGGACACACGUGUAAAUACUGAAUAGUUUCUCUAGUGUGAGAAACUGAAAGUGUAAAUAAUGAUUAAAAUGAAUAAUUGAUAAUGCAUUCUCUUUUUUACCUUAAUAUUUUUUAGAAUUUACCCAUUUUGUUGGUCUUUCAAACAUUUAAUUGUUAAUAUUAAUUCAAUAUUUUUCUUUUAUUUUUUUCCUUUUUUUCAUUCUCAGCUCAUUUAAAAAUGUUAUUUUGGUCCUUGUGGUUUUCUCAGGAUUCAAUUUCUUUCUUGUCUAUUUUAUUUACAUUUCUUCCUUUCUUUUCCUUCUUUUCUUGUCAUUUUUCUCUCACUUUAAAUAAUUACAGCCUUCAUGCCUAUUGAUUUUGUUCAUACCUUUAGUUAUAUAAUGAGAGUUUUAGUAUAAACUAUUCUACUUUAAUUAUAUUGUGUGUACAUUGAGUGGAAAUUUCAGAGUUGUGUUAUUUUUAUCUUGGGAUAUUUAGAAAACAUAUGAAUUAAGUAUUAAGCCUUUAUAUUCAUUUUAUAUCUAGGUUCUUUGGUUACAAUCCUAGAAUACAGUACAUACAUAUAUAGCUACUUUUUUAGACUUUUGCCUUUGAAUUCUUUGCCUCUCUGCUUCCCUUGUAGUCUUUACUAUUUUCUCUAUCUAUCUUUGACCUAGUAAAUAAAUUAUUGCUCUUUCAUACAAGAGUUGAACUUAUUUAGGGUGAUUAGAUAACUGACCAUUUCUCAAUUUUGUUACUGUAUGAUUUUUAGGAAAUACAUCAGUGAGCUUAAUUUUUCUAUAUUUUUAACUCACCUUGGUUUUUAAAAAUGAUGAUGAAAUACUACUAGUUUAUGAAUGCUGGAGACUGUUUAGCAUUCCAGUGGUCAUUUCUUUGAAUUUAUAAGCAGAAGUAUGUUUUCUUUUCUUUUUUCUCCACCUCUCCCUUUAUUGUGAGCUAUAAUGAAGGUAGCAUCCACAGCACUACAUACUGUUUUAUCAGUUAGCAUCCUUUGUUACAAAUGAAUUGAUUGGAAAGAUAUGCGAUAGCUUAUGGAAUCUGAGAACAGUGAGCAAACCAGUAUAAAUAAUGAGCAUAAGCUAGAGCACAUUUUACAGACAAGAAACAAUUGGUUAAAUUGCUGCCUCCAUCACAGGAUAUUGAAACACUGCUUUCCCUGAUAAACUAUUGACUCCUGACCACUAUGACUAACACUGAGCGACACUCUUACAAGUUUAUAUUGUCAAGAGUGGUAAAGCCUAGUUUAUGAUUCUAUAUCCCAGAAACCUGGAGAGAGGUUUAGAAAUGAUUUGUCUUUCCGGCUACAAUUGAACAUACACAGUGAUGAUGUAUUAUAAAUAAAGAAGGUUGUUCGGAUACUCAAUGAACUCAAAAGAAUAUAUUUUAUUACUUUUAAACACUUUUCCCUGCAUACACACGUUUUUUAAAAAGUACUUAUAGUAAAUGAUGUACACACUAUAAAAUAAGAUUGUCACUGUUAUGUGGGAUUAUAAUUUCUCAAUGUUACUCAUUGAAAUGAGCAUACAAUAAAAAGCAUUUAUUGCACUUGAAGGUAAAAAAAGUACUUAUAUAUGUUUGCCCUUAUUCUUUUGCUUUCAAAAAGAGAAAAGCUCCUGUCUAAAAUGCAACAUUUCUUCCUACACUGCAAAGUGUGCAUGACAUUGGGCGUGGCAUUACAUGCCUAAUGGGAGCCAAUUCAAAUUUUCUUUUUACAUUUCCAUGUAUAGAAUCUCUGAGUUAUGUACAAAUUCCAGUUAGUUCAAGUUUGGUGAAUUAUUGAUAUUUUUCAACUUAUGUAUUAAAUUGCAAAGUUAAUCAUUUCUAACACUUUCUAUAUACAGUACUAGAUGAGAAAAAUAGCAAUACAAGUAAUCUAUCAUUUUAUAUACACAUCUAUCUUUUUUUCCUUUUACAGAUGUGUCCUCUCUUUUAUUUUAUAACCAUUGAGUCCAAAGAACAUGUGAUCAUAGAAAAAAGGCUUUUCAAAAUUAAGAGAUCAUUAAGUUUAACAAGAUGUAGUGAUGUCUUAUUUUAUGAAUUUGAGUAGUCCACUUGGGGGAAAUAAAGUUCUCCAUGUAAGUUGCAGUUUCAAAGUAUAUGUCACAUGUCAGUAGUUCAAAUUAUAACUAAUUUUUAUCAGCCUAUAACCUUUCCCUUUUAGUAUUAAGGGACUGUAAAGGAAGAAAGCAAUACUGGGUAGAAUAUCACAGAAUUUAUUUUCCCAAGAGGUAAUGGCAUAUACAAAUUCACAAUAAGAUCAUCAAAUCUAAAUCCAGAGUAAUUGUACAUUCCAAUAAAAAAAAGGAACUAACACUGUUGUUUCGACAGGGUCAAUUAUAAUGCAUUUUACAACAAUUUAGCUGGGCUCAAAAUAUAGUGGCUUGUAGAUAAUUAGAGCUACUAGCAAGACAGGCUCAUAUUACUGGCUGUAGCAAGUCAUGGGAAUUCGUGAUACUGAUACUAUUAAUUGCUUCCAUUUCCUUUACCUUAGAUCUCUUUUAUUGAGUCAAUUGAGUAAUCAUUCGACUUAUAGGUUUGGACUUUUAUAACUGAGCAGUUGUCUGCAUGUUGCCAAGAAUGUGUCAUGUUUCUGCCUCAUUAAGAAUAAUUUUUAUCAGGGCUUUCAGUAAACACAUGAAAAAGAGUUCAUGAUUUAAAAUUAACAGUACAGUAUCUGUGCAAUCUCACAAUAAGUUUAAAUGAUUUAUUGAAAAUUAUAAAAUUAAUUAUUAGGUAGACUAAAAAGAGAUAAUAAAUAUCUUUUCUACAGGAAAAAGUUACAUGAAAACCAAAAUAUAUAAAUGGUCUAAUGAAUGAUUCAAUUAAAAAUCAUAAAGUCAAUAAAACAAAAGUAAGGGCCAGGGAUUUAGCUCAGUGGUUCCACCACCUGCCUCACAAGUGUAAGAUCCCAAGUUCGAUCCCUGGUACCAAACAAAACAAAACAAAAAAACACAAAAACUUUCAGCCCAGGGAUUUAUCUCACUGGUUCUGGCACCUGCAUCGCAAGCGCAGAUUCCCGAGUUCAAUCCCCGGUACCAAAAACAAAACAAAACAAAAAAAGGUAAAAUGAAGAAACAAAUAUAAUGAAGUCUAAACGAUCAUUAAAAAAAUCUUGUUUCUGGAUGUGGUGGCACAUCCCAGCACUCAAGAUGCUGAGGCAGGAGGAUCUCUGUGAGUUGGAAGCCAGCCUGGGCUACAUAGUGAGUGUAAGGCCAGCCUGAACUACACAGAGAGACCCUGUCUCAAAGUAAAUAAAUAAAUAAACCUAUUAAUGGAUGGAAAAUAAAGCCAAGAGAUCAUAGUUUACAUCAAAAUGAAUUUAUUUCAGUUAUGCUUAUCCCAUUGUAUAUGUAGAUUCACAUUAGGAGCUUUAUAUAACAACAUAUAAAUAGCUCAAAAAGAGAAAUUAUGUUAUUCCCAUAGAUUUAUACAAUUUUACAUAUAUUUCUAAUCAUAAUCUUUGGCCUCUUAAUCAAAUGAUAGUGAUAUAUACAUCAUUAACAUAAUAAAAUCAUAGUUGGCAAAAACCACAAUCCAGUGAGUUGAGAAACAAGAGGCAUUCCCACUGUACUCAACAACUAGAUUGGAAGUUUCUUACUGCUUUCUUUAAUUCUGUUGUUUAUGUCCUGUCUUAGGAACUUUCCUCUUUGCUGAAACAUAGUAACAGAUGGCUUGGAGCUUAGAGGAAGAGAGGUCUAUUUUGCUCAGUUCUCAGUUCCUAGUAGGCAGCAGGACAGCAUGGUAGAGGAGAGCUGCUCUAAUCAAGGGAUCCAGGAAACAGAAAGUCGAGGGAAAGAAGGUGACAGGGAGAGAAUCUUUUCCAAGCCAUGCCCCCAGUGACCUGCCUGUUCCUACCAGACAGGACCUUCUGACAGCAAGCCAGCUAUGAGCCUCAUCAUGAUCCAAUCACCUUCUAAAAGCCCGGCCUAUGUGUGUAUGAGGAUAUCUAGAUAUAAACCUUAACAUGUACAAGUCAUUGAAAUUAGGUAGGAGAAAAAAGUGAAAAAAGAGUAUUUUCUGCAGAUGUGACACAGUGAAAAGUAUUAUUAAUGACAGAUUACAUAAUUCAAUACCUUCAAAACCUAAACUGUAUGAUUGAAACAACAAACAUUUUAAAAGUAGUGGGAUAUAGCCAGGGAUGUAGCUCAGCAGCACAGCACCUGCCUACAAACAUGAGGUCCUGAGUUCGAUUCCCGGUACAAAAAUAAAAGAGGUUAAAAAAAGAGUGGGAUAUAUAACUAAAGUAAAGCAAAUAAAAAAUUUUUCUUAUCUACAAACUGUUAUUAGUUAAUCUAUACAUUAGGAGAAAUAUCCCUUUUUACAAAAGGCAUUACAAAAGAAAAUACCAAGAAAUAAAGCAAACAAACCAUUAAGCCUAUCUGCUUAAUAUUUAAAACCCAACUGAAGAAAAACAAAAGCACUUGAGCACAUAGUAAUAAAAAAAAAGUGUUACUUUUUUUGGAGGGGAUUCUAAAAAAAUCUGUUAAUCUUGAGAUUCAAAACUGUCAUUGUGAAAGUACAAAAGGAUUUUAAAGCUCAUAUGUAAACUUAAUAUGCAUAAUUAUGCAAAGAAAGAAUGAUAGUUGGUCUCGCUUCACAUAACAUUAAAUGUUACUAUAUUUGAUAUAGAUGUUCAUUGUCAUUUGAAUAACAUCUGAAGUAGGUGAAAGUGAAGCUUUAUGAGUAUAUGGGGAAGAGGGCAGGCCAAGAAGAAUAGAGAGAAAGGCAAAUUUAAAGGUCCUGAGCCCUACAAAAGAUUGUGCCUGGCAUAUCUGAGAAGCAGGAAAUAUCAUUUUAGGCUUAGACUGGAGUGCAAAGAGGAUAUGAGGAGAUGAGAAUAAAAAUAGAGAUGAAAAGUGAAGUUAUAAUUCAUACGGACCUAAUAAAUCAAUAAAAUAUUUGACUUCUCACUGAGAUGGGGAGUGACUAUAGGGCCUUGAACAGAGACAUGACACAAUUUGCCUGAAAUAUUGACAACUUCACCUUGGCUGAUGUGUUUAAGAAUAAAUUGAAGAUGGACAGGAUGGAGGUAUGCAGCCAACCUGAGAAGCUGUGAAAAAGUCCUGGUAAGAGAUGAUAUCACGAAUAAGAGUUUUGUCAACACAGAAAGGAGACAUAUUUUAACUUUGAGUAUAUUUUCUAAUUAGACUCAGUUGGAUGUGCUGAUAAUCUAACACAGAGUAUGCAUCAAAGAAAACAAGGACAAGUUUGGAGAAACUGGAAAGUGGAAUUGACAGUUAUUUAGAUGAUGAAACUGAAGUAAUCCUGAAAGAAGAGGUUUUGCUUGUUUGAGAAGUAAAGUUAUGAAAUUUAGCAAUAUUAGAAGAAUUAAAGACAUAUUACAGGAAUGCAUGCAUACACAUGUUUAUUGUUUAUAGCAGCAAAAACUCAUGUUUGUAGUAGCACAUUUAUAAUAGCUAAAUCUUGGAAGUAGCCUCUAUGGUGAUCAAUAGAUGAGUGGAUAAAGAAAAUGUGGUAUUUAUACACAUUGGAGUACUACUUUGCUAUAAACGAGGAUAAAUUGGAGUAGUUUGUAGGAAACAGAUACAUCUUGAGACCAUAAUGGUAAAUGAAAUAAAUCAAAUACAUAAGCUUAAAUAUCAAAUGGCUUCUCUUUUAUGAGAAACUCAAAGUAUUAAAAAAGAGCAAAAUGAAAGAGAGAUGAUAGGAAACAGGGAGAUUAUUUUGCAAAUGAGACAGGAACAAAUAGAUUGAGGGAGAACUGAGGGAGAAGAGAAGAAUGGGAUAUAAAAAGAAUUAAGAUGUGUUAUGUACGUGUACAACCACCCACAGUAAAUGUAAUCAUUGUGUGCUGUAAACAUGCAGUAAUAAAAAUAAGAAAGGAGAGCAUUUUGUCCCAUGGUGGCAUCCUUUGAAUUCAGAACAAACAUUGAUAUCAGUGAAUAUUUCAUAUAGUGCAGGAGUGUUUUGUGAGAUUAUCAAAUACUUGGGAAAGGAGUGCAAAUGCAUUAGUAAACUCCAUAUGUAAAAUUUUCCUUGAUAUCUUUCAGUGUCUCUGUACUUAAUUCAGUAAGAUGUGUAAUAUCUACUAUAAAUAUAAAAAUUCUAAUUACACCAUUCUUUAUCUUUUAAAUUAGUUAAAAUUUUAUUUAUGAACUAAAAUUGAUUCCUUUUAAAAUGUGGGCUUUCAAAAAGGGAAAAGGAACAUGAAGACCAUAACAGUAUGAGAAUAAAAAUUAUUGGAGUAAGAAAUAGAGUGAAAUGAGUGAAUAACAUUGAGAUCUCCCUUGAAAAAAUGAUGAUAGACUGAAAGCAGCAUUGCUCUAGGUUUCUCUACAGCUAUGCUCAGAUCAGGUGCAUGGGUGCAGCCACAUAGACAUGGAAGGCUGUACAGAGUUGUAGUUUAGGUGAGGACAAAAGAACAAAAAAGGAAAAUUGGAGAUGUUCGCUAGUAUAGCCACUAUCAAAAACAGUAUGGAGAUUUCCUAGAAAACCAAAAAUAGAACUAUGAGAUACACCUAUCCUGCUUCUAGGUAAGUAUCUGAAGGAAAUAAAAUCAACAUACAAAAGAGAUAUUUGCAUACCCAUGUAUAUUUUGACAGUAUUCAUAACUAACAUAUGAAAGCCAUAAAGAAGAAAUCUUACCACUUUCAGGAAAAUAGAUGGAACUGGAGGAUAUCAUAUUAAGUGAAAUAAAUCAGACACACAAAAUCUAUUAUCACAUAUUCUUUUUAUGUGAAAAAAUAUGACCUAAAAGUAACAGAGACCUUACUAGGGACUAGAAAGGGUAAUGAGUUUAGAUGGACAUGGUAAAUACACAAUGUAUGCAUGCAUAGAAAUAUUACAAUGAAUUCCAAUAAUUUGUAUAAUUAAUGUAUGCUAAUAGUUACAAUUUGUAAAAGAUAUCUUUCAAGAAUAGAUUAAAAUGCUUCAUCAAGUAACUUCAAACUUUAUGAAGAAAUUCAAUAUAUAAAGACGUACACUGGAAGGAGCUUAGUGAUAUCAGUAGAUUGUUGGCUACAUGUACUCUUAGGAUUGUGAUAGGAAAGGUAUCUUAAUGAUUAAGUUUGUAAAAUAGGAGGCCAAAUUCAGAGAGUGAGAUUAAGUUGAACUUAUAAAAUUAAUUGUUGAUGAUUGGUGAUUGGUGAUGAUAAUGUCAAGUGUGUAACCAUGAGAAUGAAUGCCUAGGGUAAAGUGAAAGUCAAGUAAACUGGAGAAGAUCAAAAUCUGGAGAUUAGCAUGCUGGGAGAGUAAUUUGUGUAUACGGAAAUUGUCAGGAACUCUGUAUUAGUUUUAUCUAAUACACUACACUACACUACCAGCACUACAAAUAUUUGUGGCUAAAAUCAGUAUGCACUUUUUGUUUAACAAUUUUGUAAAUUAGCAUUUUGGAAAGGCAUGACUAAAUUUUCUUUCAGGAUCUCAUGAAGCCUAAAUCAAAGUUUUGAGGAUGGGCUUUUGGCUGGAGGUCCUAAGGAAGAAUCCACUUCUAUAGUCCUUCAUGCUGUUGGCAGAUUUAAUGUGCUCACACAGGGACUAAAUCCCAUUUCCUUUCUCUGUAUUCAGCUGAUAGGUUUUCCUGGUUCUGGUCAUUGCACAUGGACUCCUUCAUCAUAGAUGCCAGGAAAAAUUGGCAGAAACUAUUGAAUGUCUUUCAUGCCUCAAUCUCUCUGGCUUCCUCUUUGCCAUCCUUUUCUGCUUUUCAAACCUCAAGUGAUUUUUUUUUCCUCAGUGAUUUUAUUGGACCCAUUUGGCUUAUCCAGGAUGAUUUUCUUGUCUUAUUCUUAAAAUUAAUUGUUAACUACUUUAAUUACUUGGCAAAUUUUCUUCUCUCUUAUUCCCUGAAGCCAACAGUCUGAUUGACGUAUAAGGAAGCAUACAGUGCAGGGGUAUGCAUGUGGGGUCUUUUUGAUGGCUAUAAUUCUGCCUAUUGAAAUUAUUACAGAAUAUGUUUUACAGAAAGGAAUUCAAUAAUUAACAAAUGAGGAGAAAAAAACAAAAUUGUUAAUUGACUACAAUGAAGUUAGAUGGGGAUAGUAGUGACAUAAAAUUCAAAGUCAGAGUAGGAGGAUUAAAAAGGAUCUAGAAGGAUCUAGAAGCUGGCCAGAAUAAGCAAAGGGAAGCUAUGCUAUAUCCAUGCCCAGCUUUUUGUAAGACAAAACAAUCACCAGAGAAGGCCACCAAGGAUUUAAAGUCAUCAGGGAAUUUCAAGUUUCAGUUAAGGCAGGAAGAUUUAGGAAAUAUCUUCUAGAGCAGUUGAGGAGAAAGAGAAUUUGUCUCUACUAUAGUUCCAAAGGUCUCUGUGAAAAGCAUUCCAGGAAGAUGGCUGGGAAAGGGGUCACAAACUGUGAGGAAAGAUCAGUAUGGUAUCUAGAUGUUCCCUCAAAGCCUCAUGUGCUCAUAAGUAGGACUUUUUGGAAGUAGCUGGAUCUAUGGUGUGUGAACUGGGAUUAAGGGUGUAUGACAACUAAAUUGGUUUAGCAUAGUUCUGGGUGUGCAUAGUGGAAGCCCCCACCCAGAGUGUGGGUGGCACCAAUCAAUAGGCUUGUAGCACGAAUGGAAUAUAAAGGGACAGAGAGAGAGAGCAGGCUUAUGGCUUGCUGCUUGCUUUCUCCUGCCUGCUCUGCCAUGGACUGCUUCUCCUCUGUAAUAUACCUCUGCCAUGCUACCUUGGCUUGGACCCAGCAGACUAUGGACUGAAGCCUCUAGAAAUGGUGAGCUGAAAUAAACCUUUCCUCCUUUAACUUGUGGGUGUCAGAUAUUUGUCACAGCAAUGAGGAAAGUAUCUAAGAACAUAACCUGCCUGGAUUCCAGCUAACAUAUUUUAUGUUUGUGUGAUAUAUAGGUAGCAAUUACACUGAAAAGGAGUGAUCAUUAGUUUGUUUAUUUAAAAUAAAGAAAUUUAUUGCUUUAUUAAAGAAUGUACUCAUUAUAAAGGGUAUAUAUUAAUAAUGAGUAAAGCCCUGAAAUGAUGCCAAAAGUAAAAAUUAUUAAGGCACAUAGGUUCAGCAGGAAUACAAAAUAUCUUAGAUUAAACCAUAUAUGUGCAAUCUUUCCAAAAAAUGUGUUGAGUUUUUAUUCAUCAACUGUUCUUAGUUUUUCUGUGCAAGGCACUGGGCACAUAAAUUUAUGCAAGCUAGGAGAUGUCUCUGUACUUAGGAAUCUUACAGUCUAGAAAACAUAUAAUAAGAGCAAUUGCAAAAAAAAUCUAUAAAGUAAUAUGAUCAAUGAAUUAUCCAAGGCACACAAUUAAGUUUUGAGGUAGCAAUCAAUACACUAAAUGGCAAUUGGCAUCAAAAUUAAGUAUCCAUUUGAGUGAUUAGUAAGCCAAUUAUUCAAAAGUGGGUAGGAAGCUCCUAGGCUGAGGAAACACUCUAUGUAGAAGCCAUAAAGUAAGAGAAGCAUAGGACAUACAAGAAAAAACAAACAAACAAAGAAACGAAAAACUAACAUGAUUAGAAAAUCAAUUAUUUAGAGGAAAAUAAGUUCGGUAUCUCUCUUCUCGAAGUAUAAUUAGCACUACAUGGAAAAUAUUGGUCUAUGGAAGUACAUAGUACUUCUUGGCACCAACCAUACUAUGCUUGCCUACUGGUCUCCUAAAUGCCUAAUCACUAAACAAAGGUCUCUCUGGACUUUGUUUUUGCAUCUAAUUCUUCCUAUGAGUAUCAAAUGCAAGCCCUAAGGAAAUGAUUUUACAAGUAUUUGAACUUCUUUUAUGUCUGGACAUUCAGAGUAUUCUAGACUAACAAUAAACCUUUAUUUGGUCUCUACAAAAUUCUUUGAUUUCAUCUCACCCUCUUGUAUAUGGGCUUUACUUAUUUUCCCGUUUUCCUUACAUUCUUCUAUCCCUCUUGGAGGCUUAGAAGAGUCAGUUGUUUCAUGAUCUCAGUUCUUUGGUAGACACAAUAAAAGUUGCAAACCUAAUGUUCAUCCAAUAACUUUUUCAAUUACUAUUGCAGUAACAUUCUAAACAGACAAAAAUUUGCAUAUGUGUAUUUAUAUAUAUGAUGUAUAUAUAUUUCAAGAUAUUAGGUACUUGUGGUAUGGGAAGAAAACUACAAGGUGAGAAAUUUGGAAUCAAAGAGAAAAAUCUGUGUGCUAUAAAAUAGGUAAGAUACUUUGGAGUCUAGGUGAGGACUACUACUAGGAGUGAAAAAUGUGCAUGAAUUCCGGAGAGAUUCAAAAGAGGGACUCAGGAAUUAAUUAGGCAUAUGAUAUAAAGAGAGGAGACAAGGACAACUUCUACGAUUUUGGCUGGUAUGUAAAAAAGGAGACUUUUAAGUCUCUUGAGCCUUUUUAAAUUUAAUUUUCUUGAUUUUCUUACUUUGUAAUUACAAACUGUUAUUAUUUUAAUUAAUAUUUUGAAAGCAAAUAAUUUUCUAAGUUCAAUCAAAAAUAUAUAUGGUUAUAUUGUCAUUGAAAGUGUGUAGUUGCAGAGUUUUUUUUCUGAAUCCUCAAUACAUGUACCAGAUUUCUCUGGUCACUUAUUUUUUAAAAUGAAAUGGUUCAGCUUAUUCAGAAUUUUUCUUUAUACUUUUUUCAUUUCUUUUUUUUUCUUUUGGUUUUUUCAGGCUAGCUCUGAACUCACCAUGUAGCCCAGCCUGAUCUCGAACUCUGGCGAUCCUCCUGUCUCAGCCUCCUGAGUGCUGGGAUCCACCACGCCCAGCAUAUACUUUUUAGUUUCUGAAAGACAUCAAACUUUGAUGCUAUGAUCUGAAUUGGAAGCUCAAACAGGAGUUUUGACAAAUGUUUGGAAAGUCCAGUCUCUCAAAAAAUCAGUUUAGAAACAAACUAAAAUUUCGUAUGAGUAGUGUGCUUUUAUUCUGUCAAAGAAAACUAGAGCUAAAGUGGUAAAAGAAGAUUUAUCAAGUUCUAUUUUAAUGGGAGAAAAGAGACUCAAUAUAGACUGGUCUCAAUUCUGAAUACAAAAUUGUUGAAUAAGGACUUAUAGCCAAGGAUCCUAUGAGGAGUCCUUGGAUGAAAAAUUAAUAAGAAAAAAUUUAAAGGGCAAAGGAAAAUACUUGCAAAACUGGCCCAAGAGAACUCAUGCAGAAAUCAGGGCAUGAUAAGCAGUAUCACUUAGGGGAUAAUGCAACAUUAGCAAUUUGGUUAUAUAUCAGUGUCUCAGAUAUGAGGGUGAAGAUUCUGGCUGAAUUUAAUUGACAAGAUUCCUGCUAAAACUGGAUGAUGCCAGAAUGAACUUGGAUGUUCUGACCAACGUUUGAUCAAGAGGUGGAGCUUGGCAGGGGAUGGCAGGCAUCUUGUCAGUUCAGAGUGGCACACCUUACUUGUAUUACAGAUAGAUGCCUUAUAUAUUCUUUGUAAAAUCUGUGCUGUCUUUAAGAAUUUUAAAAUACAUUAAUCUAAAGAAACACAUGUUAAUCAUCAGGCCUAUCAUUAAAUUUCUUUGAAAUUGGUGCAGAGCAGUUCUACAAAAUUGUGAGUUGUAAAGUAACGAUUACUCUGCCUUUCAAGAUGCACUAUUUGGAUAUCAUGUUGACUUUUAGAUUUUUAGAAAUGUCUGUAUUUACUUUGGAUCAUCCCAAGGACAGCAUGGAAAUCGAAGAACAUCUUGGGAAUGUGACUAUUUCCAAUCACACAGUCUGUCAUCCUGGACAUUCAACCAGCUCAGAACAUGUAGCCCUCUUGCAGGGCGGGAUCACUGAUGGACAAUUGGAGAGAAAGAAAAGCAGAGGUCUUGGAUUCCUGGGCUCGAAGAAUCCUCUUGUCUCAACUUUCUGAAUAGCUGGCACUACAGACAUUUGGAUAUGGACUGAAAUAUCUACAAACUGUGAGCCAAAAGAAAUGUUUGGUAUUUUGAUCCAGCAAUGAGGAAAGUAAAAAAGACAUCAUCUCAUUUAGAAUGCCCCAGAGAAGACAUCAUCAGAAUGUGCAGUACGACAUGGAUAAAUAGUCUAUGGAGUCUCUUGAGCACCAAUUUAAAGAAGAUUUACCGACUUUUGUUGGCAAGAAAACUUCGAAUCUCAAGAUCAUUUGAUAUAAUUCAGUCUUGACCAUAGACUUCAGUCAACCAAAGAAUAAUUGCUAAAGCCCUCCAAAGGUAGCAGCAGAAGAAAAUAUAUUGAAUCCAGGGUCUUUGAGAAGAUAAUCCUAUUGACAAAAUCAGACAUUCAAUACACAGAAUUACUAAAGUGAGACCAAAACACUGAAUGCAGUAUUAUCCAGAGUUUACAAUACACUUGACAACUGGGUUGCUAGAACUGUGUUGCUGUCAUUGCUGCUAUUGGAACAUCUGCCUGGAUGUCUGGAGCCUACAGUCCAACUGAAGUUCUGGGAUUGCUGCUGAUGCUGCCUGACCUGCAGUCCUCUGCAACUGACCCAUCAUCUAGUAUGAUAUUAAAUCUUUCAUCCACCUUACAGACUUUCACUAUUUCUGCUCUUCACUUUCUUCUCACUGUGCCCCCCCUUUUUUUAACAUGACCAUAGAAUCCUUGGGUCUUCUUUCUUAUUUUCCCAAUAAUUUCAUUACUUAUGCUUUAAUUAGAAAAAAGGAAAAACUAUCAUGCUUUUCAUUAGAAUUACUUAUUAUUUUAUUUCAAAAUAUACAUUUAAAGAAGUUAGUCAAAAUUUACUGGAGGAAAUGGUGUCUUAAACUAAAAGUGUAAAUAAGGAUCAAAAUGUAUAAUUGAUAUUGUGAAAUAGCAAGAAAAGGUCUAAAAGGAGUAGGGGAAG